rfam:Picea glauca, whole genome shotgun sequence.
GGAUCCAUGGUGGAAUGGUAGAGCGUCUGACUCCAGAUCAGAAGGUUGCAUGUUCGAUUGACGUCGGGUUCA